rnacentral:rRNA from 1 species
CCCUUAGAUGUCCUGGGCCGCACGCGUGCUACACUGAUGCAUACAGCGAGUACUCCCAGCUCCGAGAGGCUGCUGGUGAUCAGCAAUAUGCAUCGUGAUGGGGAUAGAUCUUUGGAAUUAUAGAUCUUGAACGAGGAAUUCCUAGUAAUCGCAGGUCAUCACCCUGCGUUGACUAAGUCCCUGCCCUUUGUACACACCGCCCGUCGCUCCUACCGAUUUCGAGUGAUCCGGUGAAUCAUUCGGACCGCGGCCCCUAGGCAUGCGGAAAGUCUAGUAAACCAUAUCACUUAGAGGAAGGAGAAGUCGUAACA